AGUUCACUCAAACCGAUAAAGCUGUUAUGCUUGAUGAGAUUCUGGAUUAUGUGUAACAUUUACAGAUGCAAAUCAAGGUUCGGAGGUUGAUAAAGUCUGCAAAGCACUCGAGGACCCAAGCUGAGAAGGAAUUCAAAGUGGAGGUUGAAGCAAUUAGGGC